AGGGAAAUUGAUGAGAUAUACUUGGGAAAUCCAAAGAUGUUACGCCAGGAAGUAGUUAAAUGAAAAGAGCCUGAAUCUUGAGCCCCCUCCCCUCUCUACUUCCUGUUUCUUCCCUCACCAAGCAAUCUAAUGGAGGGUUUCUUCACAGAUGGUGUAAAACGAGAUGGAGAAGGAAAUGGCCAACCACUCCAGUAUCAUUGCCAAGAAAACCCCAAAUGGGGUUACAAAAAUUCAGAACACCUAAUCAACUAAAGAACCAGAUUGUUUAUCAAGUACUUUCCUCACAACCCUAAGAUUUAUCAAAUGCUUUCCUCAAAACCCUCUAUGCUAUAUGGCUUGAAACCUUUAUUAUCCUCAUUUAACAGAUGAGGAAACUGAGGCCCAGAGAGUACCUUUCUGAGAGCCACAUCAAAUCAGAACUUAAUCCCCUUUCAUACCUACACUCAACUAUCAGGUAGAUGGCACAGUGGAUAAAGUGCUGGACCUGGAUUCACAAAGUCCUCAGUUCAAAUUCAGUCUCAGACAACUAGAUAAGAAACUUUACCACUUUCUGCCUCAGUUUCCUCUCUGUAAAAUGAGAGUAAUAAUAGCACUUACUUCCCCGGGUUGCUAUGAAGAUCAAAUGAGAUGACAUUUGUGCAGUAAAGAAAACUUAAAAUGCUAUAUAUGUCCUAGCUAGUAUUAUGGUCAUGAUUUUUUUGGUCUAUGUAGAGAAAUCAGAUCUUGAAGAGGUAUAAUGGCUUGUUAAUAAGUAGCAAAGUUGGGAUUAGAAUCCAUUCAUACCUACACCCUUGCUGUAUAUGUGCCCACAGAAACUAGUGACUUACCCAAAGUCACAUGAGUUAGCUCCCGAGCCAAGACUGGAAUGUAAGGCAUAACUUUCUACCCUCCCAGGACAGGAUUCUUGUCAUUGGUCCCACACCUUUGUCCUCCUUCAGGAAGUCUGGGAAGAAGAUAGGCUGAGAGAAGAAGAUGGUAGACACGCUGCUGUGCAGCUGGGGCUGGCCUAGCUUUAAGGUAGGGCAAAGACUUGUGACUUGAAUAAGCAACACCCCCAAAGGAAUCCAGUGCCUUCACAGAAGCUCCCAAUUCCCAGGCCUUAAUCCAAGCCAAUCCACCCCCAUCUACUUAGGCAAGAAGUCUCA
rnacentral:lncRNA from 1 species